CGAACGGGUGAGUAACACGUGAGUAACCUGCCCCAGAGUGGGGGACAACAGUUGGAAACGACUGCUAAUACCGCAUAAGCCCACGGAACCGCAUGGUUCAGAGGGAAAAGGAGCAAUUCGCUUUGGGAUGGACUCGCGUCCGAUUAGCUAGAUGGUGAGGUAACGGCCCACCAUGGCGACGAUCGGUAGCCGGACUGAGAGGUUGAACGGCCACAUUGGGACUGAGACACGGCCCAG
rnacentral:rRNA from 1 species